rnacentral:rRNA from 1 species
AGCCCAGCCGUAAACAAUUAACUUACACCAACCAACGCCAGGGGAUUACGAGCCAUGUUAAAACCCAAAGGACUUGACGGUGUCCCAUUCCCCCUAGAGGAGCCUGUUCUGUAAUCGAUGACCCCGCUAUACCCAACCAUUCCUUGCUCCAGUCUGUAUACCUCCGUCGAAAGUCUACCCUGUGAACGCAAGUAGGCCUAAUGGACCCCCACCAAUACGUCAGGUCAAGGUGCAGCUCACGGAAUGGAAAGUAAUGGGCUACAAUUUCUAGUAUAGAACAAACGAACGACUGUGUGAAACCAUGGUCACGAAGGUGGAUUUAGUAGUAAAAAGAAAAUAGAGUGUUCUUUUUAACCCGGCUCUGGGACGCGUACACACCGCCCGUCACCCUCUUCAAUAGCUUUACCUCAUGUUCAUAACUCUUUACCCGCGCCUUAGAAGAGGCAAGUCGUAACACGGUAAGUGUACUGGAAAGUGCACUUGGAUUACAACAAAAUAUAGCUUAA